rnacentral:rRNA from 1 species
CCUACGGGUGGCAGCAGUGGGGAAUAUUGGACAAUGGGCGAAAGCCUGAUCCAGCCAUGCCGCGUGUGUGAAGAAGGCCUUCGGGUUGUAAAGCACUUUCAGUGGGGAAGAAAGCCUUGGGGCUAAUACCCUCGAGGAAGGACAUCACCCACAGAAGAAGCACCGGCUAACUCCGUGCCAGCAGCCGCGGUAAUACGGAGGGUGCGAGCGUUAAUCGGAAUUACUGGGCGUAAAGCGCGCGUAGGCGGUCUGAUAAGCCGGUUGUGAAAGCCCCGGGCUCAACCUGGGAACGGCAUCCGGAACUGUCAGGCUAGAGUGCAGGAGAGGAAGGUAGAAUUCCCGGUGUAGCAGUGAAAUGCGUAGAGAUCGGGAGGAAUACCAGUGGCGAAGGCGACCUUCUGGACUGACACUGACGCUGAGGUGCGAAAGCGUGGGUAGCAAACAGGAUUAGAUACCCUGGUAGUC